rnacentral:rRNA from 1 species
UACAGAGGUCCCAAGCGUUGUUCGGAUUCAUUGGGCGUAAAGGGUGCGUAGGCGGCGCGGUAAGUCGGGUGUGAAAUCUCGGAGCUUAACUCCGAAACUGCAUUCGAUACUGCCGUGCUUGAGGACUGGAGAGGAGACUGGAAUUUACGGUGUAGCGGUGAAAUGCGUAGAUAUCGUAAGGAAGACCAGUGGCUAAGGCGGGUCUCUGGACAGUUCCUGACGCUGAGGCACGAAGGCUAGGGGAGCAAACGGG